AUUAUCCCCCGUGCAUCCAGCACUGCAAUAAAGAAUGCCUGCUUUCUAAAACUCCAAAACGAGUCUUAGAUAGUAUUUCUUUACAGGCCGUGAAUGUCAGUAUCAUUUUGGUGACCCAGAUGGGACGAGGCUUCUCUGAGACUCGAUGGACACAGGAUCACAGGACCUCUAGCUGGCACCGAGAUUUCUUGAGGAGACCCUUGAUCCCCGUUCCCCCAGCUCACAAGCCAAGGACACUGACAGGAUAUAGAGCCUGAAUCUGGAUCAAGAGUUUUGAUAUCUCCUAGUCAUCAGGAAAUGCAGAAGGAGACAUCUGGAGUAAAAACAAGUAACUCUGAAAAGUAGUAUGCAAGAGAAGAAGAUACUUCCCAAUGAACAGAGAGCAGAAGAAAAAAAAACAAAAAAAAAGCCAACCAAACAAAACAGUUGGCAGCAGCUUUGACACUGGCCAGCAGCACUAAGAAAAUACAGCUGGAGUAGCAGAGGACAAGUUCUGGCUCAAAGUAUGUUCUGAGAUCCCAUCUAUUUUCCCUCACUGGUCCAGCUACUGGUCUUGGGGUAAAGUGAAACAGCAGGGUCCCAGUGCACAGUAAACAGCCAAUCUGGUAUUGGAAGGAACUACAGGAGCAGUUAUCAACAGCAGAUAAUAGACAAAAACAAAACUCAACAACCGAC